rnacentral:lncRNA from 1 species
UAUGGAAGAAUUGUCAGCUGUACAUGUCUGUCUGGCAUGGUUCAUCUGACCUUGACCUCUUUUUCAUGGUUUAUUGCUCAUUGUUAAGUUUUUGUGUUUUGGUCUGUUUUUCAUGAACUUCAUGUAUAAGCAAUAGGUCCAUUAUAAACUAUAUUUGUUGUAUGGAAGAAUUGUCAGCUGUACAUUUCUGUCUGGCAUGGUUCAUCUGAAGUUUUUUUUCCUCCAAACUUUAUAUUUUUUAGUAUCAUUACAAAGUUAUAAAGCAUGGAAGUUGAUAAGAAAGUGUUUGUGGUAAUUGAAAUAGCACAUCAAUCCAACUGAACAAUGUACUAAAUCUUUUAAAAAUAAUUUGUAUGAUUGUCAAUGAGACAAAUUUUCACCAGAGACCAAAUAUUAUGAGGUAAUUGUAACCAAUACAGUACUCACACAGUAUGGCCUUUAACACAGAUCAAUAUAUCCCAUAUACAUAAAGAUCUGAUUGCUAUUAAUUCCCCCCCCCCUUUUUGGGUGACUGGGGACUAGAAAUAUCAGGUCACUAUAGGGCUUUCUCAAACUGGAAGUAAAACUCUCGCCAGAGUGGGGC